rnacentral:misc_RNA from 1 species
UCCGGUUUGUCACCGGCAGUCUCGUAUGAGUCCCCAACUAAAUGCUGGCAACAUACGACGGGGGUUGCGCUCGUUGCGGGACUUAACCCAACAUUUCACAACACGAGCUGACGACAGCCAUGCACCACCUGUGUAUCACCCUCGAAGGCGACUACUUUUCGGUAGCUUGCAGAUACAUGUCAAGCCCUGGUAAGGUUCUUCGCGUUGCAUCGAAUUAAACCACAUGCUCCACCGCUUGUGCGGGCCCCCGUCAAUUCCUUUGAGUUUCAGCCUUGCGGCCGUACUCCCCAGGCGGGGCACUUAAUGCGUUAGCGCCGACACCCGGGGGGUCGCUCCCCCAACACCCAGUUGUCAUCGUUUAGGGCGUGGACUAC